AUCACCAAAUAUUAUAGCAUAACAUUACUGUUACAACAAAAACAACACCUCAUAUCUUAGGAGAUUUUAGGAUGGUUUGCUGAAUCAUCCCAAACUCAACAGCGCGCCAUUAGGCAGAAUGUGUUUUGAUUCAAACAAAAUACAGGAAGUCUAUUUAAUUUAACACCAUUUGCUCUAAUUUGCUCACCAAACAGUAAUUCAAGAAGAUUUAAAUGCAUAUUCCCAUGAAAUUGAUUGAGAUCAAACGAUUGGCAUGCAGAAGCAGCUAGGUCAUUUCACUGGUAAAACGUGAAGAAUUAUCAUUCAAUAUUGACAGUGAUGAUGCCAUGGCCUAUUUUGAAAUGAGGUAUGCCUAACUUAGUGAUUGAGGGUAUUAAACAUUUUCAACGUUCUUGAGACAAUGUGAGGGCAAAGGCAGGCGUUACAAGUUUAAAAAAAUGUUGCGUCGCUGUUCAGGGAUGUGUGAUGUCAGAAUGACAGAAUUCAACCUAGCAAUAGACUGGUCAUAACUUAUAGAGGUCUAAUUUAGAGGUCGACCGAUUAAAUCAGAAUGGCCGAUUAAUUAGGGCCGAUUUCAAGUUUUCAUAACAUUCGGACAACGAUUUUUAUUUUUUAUUUUUUACCUUUAUUUAACCAGGUAGGCAACACAAGUUGAGAACAAGUUCUCAUUUACAAUUGCGACCUGGCCAAGAUAAAGCAAAGCAGUUCGACACAUACAACGACACAGAGUUACACAUGGAGUAAAACAAACAUACAGUCAAUAAUACAGUAGAAACAAGUCUUAUAUACGAUGUGAGCAAAUGAGGUGAGAUAAGGGAGGUAAAGGCAAAAAAAGGCCAUGGUGGCGAAGUAAAUACAAUAUAGCAAGUAAAACACUGGAAUGGUAGAUUUGCAGUGGAAGAAUGUGCAAAGUAGAAAUAAAAAUAAUGGGGUGCAAAGGAGGAAAAUGAAUUAAAUAAAUACAAUUAAUACAGUAGGGAAAGAGGUAGUUGUUUGGGCUAAAAUAUAGGUGGGCUAUGUACAGGUGCAGUAAUAUGUGAGCUGCUCUGACAGCUGGUGCUUAAAGCUAGUGAGGGAGAUAAGUGUUUCCAGUUUCAGAGAUUUUUGUAGUUUGUUCCAGUCAUUGGCAGCAGAGAACUGGAAGGAGAGGUGGCCAAAGAAAUAAUUGGUUUUGGGGGUGACCAGAGAGAUAUACCUGCUGGAGCACGUGCUACAGGUGGGAGAUGCUAUGGUGACCAGCGAGCUGAGAUAAGGGGGGACUUUACCUAGCAGGGUCUUGUAGAUGACAUGGAGACAAUGGGUUUGGCGAUGAGUAUGAAGCGAGGGCCAGCCAACGAGAGCGUACAGGUCGCAAUGGUGGGUAGUAUAUGGGCUUUGGUGACAAAACGGAUGGCACUGUGAUAGACUGCAUCCAAUUUGUUGAGUAGGGUAUUGGAGGCUAUUUUGUAAAUGACAUCACCGAAGUCGAGGAUUAGUAGGAUGGUCAGUUUUACAAGGGUAUGUUUGGCAGCAUGAGUGAAGGAUGCUUUGUUGCGAAAUAGGAAGCCGAUUCUAGAUUUAACUUUUGAUUGGAGAUGUUUGAUGUGGGUCUGGAAGGAGAGUUUACAGUCUAACCAGACACCUAGGUAUUUGUAGUUGUCCACGUAUUCUAAGUCAGAGCCGUCCAGAUGUCAACUGGUUGCUGCGGAAAAGGAGGAGGUCAAAAGGGGGGUGAGUGUAGCCGAUGUGAAACGGCUAGCGCGUUAGAGGUGGUGCGCACUAAUAGCGUUUCAAUCGGUGACGUCACUUACUCAGACCUUGAAGUAGUGGUUCCCCUUGCUCUGCAAGCGCUGCGGCUGUUGUAGUUUUUGUUACAUAUAGAGACAGAUAUGACACUAUUGAGCAAAGAUAGGUAUACAUUAGACCACAAACAGAAAGCGGACAGGAAACCAAAGAUUAAACAGACAUAAGUGUCAUGGCCGAAGCCAUACGUGCUUUACUGUGCAUAAAGGCAGAGGGCAAAGAGGAGGAGGUGACCCUUAAAUACAUUAUCUAUUAUGGAAGGAGCAGGACAUCAUUAUAAAGAUUAGAUAGAGAGGGUAAAGGCCACAAGUGCUUAGGGUAAGAUAGAUAUACAUUAAUUUUAGGACAUGAGAGGGUCCUGCCACCAUUGUAAUCUAAUCAAGAGCGGAUACAGGCGUUAUUAGGCAUGAACAUGGAGGAAGCCUGGACUGAAAGAUAAUGGUGGCCGAUGACCUGAGGGAAGUAAAUUCAUUAACAUAUGGAAUGGACUCAUAUAUUGUGUGUGUAUAAAGACAGAGCCAGUGCUCUGGGAAAGGGUGUGUUCCGCGGACCAUCUAGGCUUCUGAUAUGUUUGUAUUAAAAGCCUAUUAUUGAAUUCACAUGUUCUUGUAAGUGUUAUAUUUUGAAACGAUCCUCCACGACAUGGCUUUUGUGGAGCGAUGGGUAACGAUGCUUCGAGGGUGACUGUUGACGUGUGCAGAGGGUCCCUGGCUCGCGCCCGGGACGGGGCGAGGGGACGGACUAAAGUUAUACUGUUAAAAAUCCAGAGCCGAUGUCAACUAGGCAAGUCAGUGAAGAACUUACAUUCUUAUUUUCAAUGACGGCCUAGGAACAGUGGGUUAACUGCCUUGUUCAGGGGCAGAACGACAGAUGUUUACCUUGUCAACACCGGGAUUCGUUUUUGCAACCUUCCGGUUACUAGUCCAACGCUCUAACCACCUGCCUUAUAUUGCACUCCACGAGGAGCCUGCAGGCUGACUACCUGUUAAGCGAGGGCAGCAAGAAGCCAAGCUCCAGUGUUUGACUGCAGUCUUCCAGCUUCACUGAUGCCAUCUCUGGACCCUGCAGAGCAAACUGGGCUCGACUGUCACAAUCAGGACCCAGUGACUGUAGGUUUGGACUCAGUGUGGAAGGAGAGUGACAGGCUGUGUUUGUCCUCACUGUUGAUGUUACCGGCCUCAGACUUAAUCUGAGUCAGUCUGUAGUAAUAAAGACAAACAGACACAAAAGUUAUUGUCUUGACAGUUCUGGCGCUUUCUUUAUUCUCUAUUAAUUAUCAGGUAGCUAAGCAUUGACAGAACAUUAAAUAAUUUCCCAUUAGACAAAGUGCACACUUUAAAUUACACAACGUUAGUGCACUUAAGUUAAUACACUUAACCUGUAGAUUUCCUGAAUUAAAAUAAAUGACUCAAAAACCAA